GAUGGGAUGAUGCAUGCUUGUAGUUCUGGCUACAAAGGAGGCUGAGGCAGGAGGAUACCUUGAGCCCAGGAGUUUGAGGCCGACCUGGGCCACACAGAAAGAUCCUGUCUUAA
rnacentral:sRNA from 1 species